AGAUGCAGUUUCAGAUGAUUCACUAGAGGAGAGUUCUCAUCGGCCACUAAGGAGGGUUCACAGAAGCAAACAGGCCACAUAUUUUGAAAAGGAAGAUGCAAUCUCAGAUGAUUCGCUGGAGAAUAGUUCUCUGCAGCGGAAUAGGAGGAUUUCUGGAGCCAGCCAAGCCAAAUUUAUUGAGAGGCAUGAUGAAGUUUCAGAUGAUAUGCUAGAAGGAAGUACUUACCAGCAGCACAGAGGAUCUUAUCGGAACAGGGAAUCAAAGUUUAUUGACAAGGAGGGUGCAGUUUCUGACGACCUACUGGAGGACAGUACUUGUCAGCAGCGCAUGAGGAUAUUCAGAACCAAGCAAGCCAAAUUUGUGGAGAGGCAAAAUGAAGCUUCAGAUGAUUCAUUGGAGGACGCAAUUCAGCAGCAACGGCGAGUGAUUCCUAGAAGCAAAAGGACCAAAUUUGUCAAGAGAGAAGAUGCAGUUUCAGAUGAUUUGCUGGAGGAUGAUACUCAUCUGAAGCACAGGCGGAUACCCGGAAGCAGGAAGGCCAAAUUAAUAGAGAGAGAAGAUGUUUCAGAUGAUCUGCAGGAGGAUGAUGGUCAAUGGCAGUCAAGGAAGACUCCUAGAGGCAAGCCGGCCAAAUUUAUUGAGAGUGAGGAUGGAUCAGAUGAUCUGCAGGACGUUACUCAUUGGCAGUCACGGAAGACCUCUCGACGCAGGCAAGCUGCAUCUAUAGAAAGGGAAGAUGUUUCAGAUGAUCUAGAGGAGGGCAACACUCAUUGGCAGCCAAAAAAAGACUCAUAGAUGCAAGCAAGCCAAGUUUAUUGAAAGGAAAGAUGUUUCAGAUGAUCUGCAUGAGGAUGAUACUCAUUGGCAGCCAAGGAAGAUUCCUAGAGGCAAGCAAGCCAAACUUAUUGAGAGGGAAGAUGCAGUUUCAGACGAUUUGUUGGAGCAUAAUUCUAUUAAGAAGCAACGGAGGAUUCUUAGAAGUAAGCAGAGGAAACCAGCGACGCUUCGCAAAAUGAAGCGAGGGGCUGUUCAGCAUGUGAAACAAGGGACCUCUAGGCUAAAAAGGAGAGAGAAUCUCCAAUCAAUCAAACAAGAUAAGCAAAUGAAGCAAGAAACUCCUCGGCUUUGGAAUGCUAAAGGUGAGCGUAAUACAAGACAGUUCGAAUCACGUGUUGAAGAAGAGCUAGAAGGUGGACCCAGUACACGCCUUAGGAAAAGGCCCUCAAAGCCUUCAAAGGAGUCAGAAACAAAGCUAAAAGAUAAGCUGCAAAGCAGUAGGAAGAAAGUGAAGAGUUCUUCAGCUGGGAAGCCUCCAAAUGGCCAGAAGAGUGUGAAAAAUAAGGAUGAGGAUGCAGAAUAUCAGUGUGACAUAGAGGGGUGCGCCAUGAGCUUUGGCUCAAAACAUGAGCUAGCAUUGCACAAAAGAAAUAUUUGUCCUGUCAAAGGGUGUGGAAAGACAUUCUUCUCACACAAAUAUCUGGUGCAGCACCGUCGAGUCCACCUGGAUGACCGCCCCCUUAAGUGCCCCUGGAAAGGAUGCAAGAUGACGUUCAAAUGGGCAUGGGCACGGACUGAACACAUUAGGGUUCACACGGGUGCUCGUCCUUAUGUUUGUGCUGAAGAAGGUUGUGGGCAGACAUUCAGAUUCGUGUCAGACUUCAGUCGUCACAAGCGGAAGACUGGUCAUUCAGUGAAGAAAAGCAGGGGUUAAUUUAAUUCAAGAGAAAUAUAAUUUAAUUGCUAAUGGAAGUGUUGUUCAAUUGGCAGUGUAGGGCUAGGUUUAAAAAGAUGAUAGGUUUAGGUUUUCCCUGUAAUUGUCAUUCAGAUUAACAUUAAUUCUCUUCUCAUUUAUUCACUGCAAUCUGACCAAUUGCUUGGAUCUUGAAAGAGAUUAAUCUCCAAUGAAUGUCACUGGUUGUAUCUCCUGUUUUUUGACUGCCAACGUAACAUUGUUGUAUUUAUAAAAGUUGAAACUUUCCUUGUGCUGCA
rnacentral:misc_RNA from 1 species